AGAGUAUUUUUAAGUUAGCAUAUAUGGAUAAAUAUUAAAAGUAUCCGCAGCGAUAUGCAAUUUUGAAGUUAAAAUGGAAGGAAGGAACUCGGCAAAUCUUAGCUUCGCCUGUUUAUCAAAAACAUGGCUCUCUGUUACUUUAAUAUAGGGAGUCGGACCUGCCCAGUGAAAUUUUUUAACGGCCGCGGUACCCUGACCGUGCAAAGGUAGCAUAAUCAUUUGCCUUAUAAUUGAAGGCUUGUAUGAAUGGUUUGACGGGAGCAUUGCUGUCUCCCUCCCAGUAGAUAGAACUUGACCUUUAGGUGAAGAGGCCUAAAUAUAAUUGAAAGACAAGAAGACCCUGUCGAGCUUUAAAAUUAGAUUAGAGGGAAAUAUAAAAUAGCCUAAAUUUAUAGCUAAUUGGUUUUUUGGUUGGGGCGACCGAGGAACAGCAAGAGCUUCCUUUAUCUAAGCUGACUUAUAGGUAUUGAUCCAGCCUAAAGCUGAUUAAAAAAAUUAGUUACCGCAGGGAUAACAGCAUAAUCUCUCUUAAGAGACCAAAUCGAAAGAGGGGGUUGUGACCUCGAUGUUGGACUAGAAUAUCCUGAAGAUGCAAA
rnacentral:rRNA from 1 species